AGCGCAGGUGGGAAUGUAAGUCAGUCUUAAAAGUGCGAGGCUCAACCUCGUGAUGGGACAGAAACUACAUUUCUUGAGUGCAGGAGAGGAAAGUGGAAUUCCUAGUGUAGCGGUGAAAUGCGUAGAUAUUAGGAGGAACACCAGUGGCGAAGGCGACUUUCUGGACUGUAACUGACACUGAGGCUCGAAAGCUGGGGAGGCAACG
rnacentral:rRNA from 1 species